AGACAGGACAGGACUAAGUACAGCAUUGUACCGUGAAACUGCGAACGGCUCAUUAAAUCAGUUAUCGUUUAUUUGAUAGUACCCUACUACAUGGAUAACCGUGGUAAUUCUAGAGCUAAUACAUGCUAAAAGCCCCGACUGCGGAAGGGGUGUAUUUAUUAGAUAAAAAACCAAUGCCCUUCGGGGCUCCUUGGUGAUUCAUGAUAACUCAACGGAUCGCAGGGCCUUGCGCCGGCGAUGGUUCAUUCAAAUUUCUGCCCUAUCAACUUUCGAUGGUAGGAUCGGGGCCUACCAUGGUAUCAACGGGUAACGGGGAAUUAGGGUUCGAUUCCGGAGAAGGGGCCUUAGAAAUGGCCACUACAUCCAAGGAAGGCAGCAGGCGCGCAAAUUACCCAAUCCCGACUCGGGGAGGUAGUGACAAUAAAUACUGAUACAGGGCUCUUUUGGGUCUUGUAAUUGGAAUGAGUACAAUUUAAACCCCUUAACGAGGAACAAUUGGAGGGCAAGUCUGGUGCCAGCAGCCGCGGUAAUUCCAGCUCCAAUAGCGUAUAUUAAAGUUGUUGCAGUUAAAAAGCUCGUAGUUGAACCUUGGGCCUGGCUGGCCGGUCCGCCUCACCGCGUGCACUGGUUCGGCCGGGCCUUUCCUUCUGGGGAGCCACAUGCCCUUCACUGGGCGUGCUGGGGAACCAGGACUUUUACUUUGAAAAAAUUAGAGUGUUCAAAGCAGGCCUUUGCUCGAAUACAUUAGCAUGGAAUAAUAGAAUAGGACGGCGGUCCUAUUUUGUUGGUUUCUAGAACCGCCGUAAUGAUUAAUAGGGAUAGUCGGGGGCGUCCGUAUUCAAUUGUCAGAGGUGAAAUUCUUGGAUUUAUUGAAGACGAACUACUGCGAAAGCAUUCGCCAAGGAUGUUUUCAUUAAUCAGAACGAAAGUUAGGGGAUCGAAGACGAUCAGAUACCGUCGUAGUCUUAACCGUAAACCAUGCCGACUAGGGAUCGGGCGAUGUUAUUUGGUUGACUCGCCCGGCACCUUACGAGAAAUCAAAGUCUUGGGUUCUGGGGA
rnacentral:rRNA from 1 species